rnacentral:rRNA from 1 species
UACGUAGGGUGCGAGCGUUGUCCGGAAUUACUGGGCGUAAAGAGCUCGUAGGUGGUUUGUCGCGUUGUCCGUGAAAACUCACAACUCAAUUGUGGGCGUGCGGGCGAUACGGGGCAGACUGGAGUACUGCAGGGGAGACUGGAAUUCCUGGUGUAGCGGUGGAAUGCGCAGAUAUCAGGAGGAACACCGGUGGCGAAGGCGGGUCUCUGGGCAGUAACUGACGCUGAGGAGCGAAAGCGUGGGGAGCGAACAGG